GAUGGUUAAAGGAUUUGGGAGCCAACACUGCAUUCAGCCUUUGCCUCCCGAAAACAAAAGCGAGAGGGGGAGGCACAACCGUUUUGUAGUCUUUGUAGGAUGCUUCAACAUGUUCUAACAUCCCUAGCCUACAUACUUAUUAGUCCAGAGCCUGGACCUAUUGGCGGGUCAUUCCAAGAAAUGAGUGCCUUUUGCGUCCUUUUGAUAUUUUAAGUAGAAAUGCACCAAUAUUGCAUUUCAAAAGCGUGAUAUAUUCAAGGAAGUAUCCCUAAAUAUAAACCACAUAGAGAAUUCAAUAAAUCUGAGUUUUUUUAUAUCAAUAAAGAUUUGCUAAAGUGCCAAAAUUCAGCAUUCUGACAUGUCCCUCUAUACCCCAUCUGCAACUUCCAGGAAGAUUUUUACCCAUUUAACCAUGAUUAGUGAGUAAUAUUAAGGUUUAAAAAACCUGUUACAACCCUUUUACAUGAACUGAACUCUCUGAGAUGGGAAAACAUGUUUUUUUAUUAAGUUGAACAUGUGCUCUUCAUGACAGAAUACUAAAAUGAGGUGAAAUCUAACGUUGCUGUUGCACCAAGUUACAUCUCAAAAGGUACCGAAUUAGUGGAACGACCCAUUUCCCAUGUGCGCGGAUACAUCACUCAUAUCACUUGACAUAAAUAGGUAAAAUUGACAGCAAAGUAACUGAAAUGCUGAGUGGGUUACAUGCCAUUGAUUUGCAAAUUAUAGGCUUAUAAAACAUAUAUUUAUAUUAAACAGUAGGCUUACUUAUAACCUAUGGAUUUUGGGGUGAUUGUUUUAUAGCCUCAGCAUAGCCUAUAGCCAAAUAGUUUGUCAUCCUGCAGUAAUAGCCAAUGGUCGAUUCCACGAAAAUAGUCAGAUUUCUCUUUGUUAGGCAACCGAGUCUCUAACCUGUAGCCUGAUGACGUCUUAGUCUCACAUGUAACAUUUCAGGAUGAUGCGAAUUUAAUUUCAGCAUGUCAACAAUGAACUAUUGCUGUGUUUCGGAUGAACCAUUGUUUUCUUAAAUUAAAUGGCCAUUUUCCUCUAAAUUAGGUUACUAUCCAGUUACAAUGAAAAUAUUUGCUAACUUUUAUGAUAGGGGUAUUACGCCAAACCAGAGGCUAAGUCAAUAGCUUAAAGGAAGAAAAAAAAUCCAAACGAGAUUUGCUAUUAUAAGUGACAGGGUAAUGUUUGUAAAUAGUUUGACAUUGUGCUGAGCAUACAAAGUGUAUUUAUCACACUAAUAAACAUGAAAUCGAUGGAAUUCAAUUAAACUCAAAACGUGCAUAGGAUAGGCCUAGAUGAGUGACGCAUAUGAAAAGUUCAAAUGUAUGUUAAUGUCCAUAUAUGCGUUUAGUUUUUAGAUUAUUUAUUUAUUUUUAUUCAGAAACUGAAAACGGGGAUACGGCUAGGCCUACAUAGGCUAUUACUUGUAAUAUCAGAAAUAAAAAGACUAAAUACCAUGCAUCAACAAGCCAGUCCAAAGCAGCUUUGCUAGGUUAAAAGCCCAGAAAUAAAAGGUUUGUCGAGAAAUGACGCUGUCUCGCCGAGAUUUAUCUUGAAACAAGUGACCCGAAACAGACUGGAGACUCCAAAACACAUAGCCAUGACAUCAAACACUCUCCACUAUUUACUUGGCGGCGGGACGAGCCGGUCGGUGCCCAGC
ensembl:lncRNA